rnacentral:misc_RNA from 1 species
GCACCGGCAGGCUGUGGUCAUGAGCUUCGGCGAUGCCUUCUUCAUCCUGACGUGUUUCUAUCUGGGGCUCAGCGCGCUGGUCUUCUUCGUCAAGAAGCCCAACAUGAUGGGCCCUCCGCCUGACGCGCAUUGAAGAUCGCCGGCAGCCGUGGCAAACCACGGCACGGUAUCGCAAUGACACGAGUGGCGAAUGAGCUUCAUCAGCGGCGUCGGACUGACGUCUUUCGGAAAGCAUGAAGGCCGUUCGACGCUCGAUCUGAUGACCGAGGCGGCUCAAGGCGCGCUGUCGGAUGCAGGCCUCAAGCGCGCCGAUAUCGACGGUCUGCUGACCGGCUAUUCCACCACCAUGCCGCAUCUGAUGCUGGCGACGGUGUUCGCCGAGCAUUUUGGUGUGCGUCCGUCCUACGC